GUCAAUGCAAGCUUUUUCAAUCAGAGCCAUUGAUUUAAAAGAUUUUAAAACCCUUGCUCUUAUCCUUACGGUUACCAAAUAUCACGACCUCUUAUAAAAAAAACCCUAGCCCUCUUUUCCUUUAUUUCAUGGUGGUGCCGGCGGCAAGGACAAGUGGAUCUUCUUCUCGAGAGUUGUUUUGCUUCUUUCAAGGAUUUGAGGCCUUGUAUGCCUACUUGGUUUCGGCCUUGUAGGUGUCCGGCCGUUUGUGGCGUCCCGGGUCCAUAAAGCUGGGUUCGGGGCGUGACACUCGAUCUUGCAUCGUCGUUGGUGGACCAAAUGGUUCUGCUUCAUUUGGUCAAUUUUUGGGCUUGAGAUCCUCAGCGCAGAUCAGUCAGUCCUCAAGACGACUACCUUGGGGAGGAAGGCCCCUGAUUGACUUUGGGGGAGGACAUAGAGGUGGAAGAGGAAAUGAUCCGACAAUUGGUAGGGUUAUCAAGAUCCACAGAGGUCCUAUGAAAGGAUACUGUGGUCGUGUUAAAGAGGUCACAGCUUCACUUGUGCGUGUUGAACUUGAUUCACAAAUUAAAACUGUUACAGGUAAAGCUCCCUUUUUGGGACAAAUGUCCACUAAGAUGCGGUAUU